AUUACCUGGUGCCGGGCUCGACUCUGGUCCAGGAGCUGCCGGGACUGAAGUUUUUGUUGUUCAAGUUGCUGCAGGGCAAAUUGAAGCUGAUAGCUGCCUGCUGUGGGGUGAUACUUGUGCUGGGGGACCACCCCUGUAGCCUGGCUGUACACGUUGUUUUCUACUUCUCCUUCCCAGGCAAAUCCCCCUGUCUGCAGGCUCCUGAAGAG
rnacentral:lncRNA from 1 species